ensembl:lncRNA
UUUUUUUUUUUUCUUUUUAAGGCUGCACCUGGGGCAUAUGCAGGUUCCCAGGCUAGGGGUCUAGUUCGAGCUGUCGCCACUGGCCUACACCACAGCAACACGGGUUCCGAGCCACAUCUGUGACCUACCCGGGAGCUCACGGCAACACUGGAUCCUUAACCCACUGAGCGAGGCCAGGGAUUGAACCCACGUCCUCAUGGAUGCUCGUCAGGUUCGUUAACCACUGAGUCCCAAUGGGAACUCUGAGGUUUGCCUUCUUUUGUCCUGAGGCUUUGAAGGAAGGAAUGCAGGAGAUGGCUGGUGGCCAGAGCAAGUUGCUAUGAGGGAACGGGAGCAGAGAGAGACCUCUGUCUUUGGUACCAUCCAGCCCAGCCCCACCUCUGCAAAACCCCAGGGCUCCCCAGGGCCCUGUCCCUACACCGCAGCUGUGCCCUCUGUUAGGAUGGAAUGCUCUUUCUCAAGUCCCUUGCUGUGAAGCCGUCGUGACCUUUGAAACAAAUGAAAUGUACACUUUUUCCGAAUGUGACUCAAAGGAUGUGAGGUUUGUGUCCCAGGCAGUUCUAAAAGUGGAUGGGUAAUUGCUGGUUCUGCUUCCUGCGAUGAUUUUGUAAGAUCGCCCCCACACAGAAAACAACAAGAAAAUCUGCACAAAAUGCAAAAAGGAGCUGCCUGAAGGCCUCUGGCACUGAGCAGCAGCAGCAGCAAAUGGGGGGGUGGUUAUUGUAUGAAGAGCAUUCCGUGGCUUCCAGCCUGAGGCCUCUAUGAGCAGGCAGUGCCCCCGGGGGGUUGGGGGAACCGGGGAGGGCAGAGCGCCCUGCGGAAAACCAGGUCUUCACCCAGGAAAACGAGGCCAUGAAAUUGGGGGGUGGGUGGUGGCUGCUGAAGAGAGUGGGAGAUCCCAGAUGGGGAGAAACGUGCAGGAAAACUGCAGGCUGCCCACCGUCUUCCUGAUGGGCUGGACCACGGGUCCAGGCAGCCCAGCUAAAGAAGCAUCUGCUCUGGGGCUGGAGCUUCGGCCAGACCCCCAGCUGUGGUCACUGCCUGCUGGACCAGCAAAGACAUCAGUUGCUGCAGAAUUGUUUCAUGGGCAAUGAUUGGUUCCAUCAGGUAAUGGUACUAAUGCAUUCUUUGGGUACUACUGUUAAGUCUCUUUCUUUCUUUUCUUUUCUUUCUUUUUUUUUGGCUUUUCUUCUUUUCUAGGGCUGCUCCCACUGAGCAAGGCCAGGGAUCAAACCCGAUACCUCAUGGAUCCUAGUCAGGUUAGUUAACCGCUGAGCCACAAAGGGAACUCCCAGGAGCUUUUUAAUUAGCACGAAUCCCGUUUCUUUUUGCUUUUGUUGCUUUGCUUUGGGGAUCAUAUCAAAAAAAAAAAAAAGAAAAAAGAAAAAAAAAGUCACUGUCUAGGCCUAUCUUGAGAGGCUUUCCCCCUAUGUUUUCUUUUCUUUUUUUGUGUUUUUAGGGCCACACCUGUGGCAUAUGGAGGUUCCCAGGCAAGGCUUCAAUCAGAGCUGUAGCCACUUGCCUACACCGUAGGCUGGGGAUCCGAGCCGUGUCUGCAACCUACACUACAGUUCAUGGCAACACUGGAUCCUCAGCCCCUCAGCGAGGCCAGGGAUUGAACCUGCGUCCUCAUGGAUCCUAGUCAGAUUUGCUUCUGCUGAGCCGUGAUGGGAACACCACUCCUGUGUUUUCUUUUAACGGUUUUAUGACUUCAGGUCUUCAGUGUAAGUCUGUAAUUCAUUUUGAAUUGGUUUUUACAUAUAUAGUGAAAUAAGAGUCCAGUUGCUCUUGUCUGUGUGUUUGUAGAAGGGUCUCUUCUUUCCCCAUCGUGUCCUAUUGGUCAAAGAUUUAUUUACCAAAAGUGUGUGGAGUUACUUCUGAGCUAGUCAUUUUGUUCAGUUGGUCUAUAUGUCUGUUUUUAGGCCGGUACCAUGCUGUUUUAAUUAGAGCAGCUUUGUAGUACUUUAAGUCAGGUAGUGUGAUUCCUCCAACUUGGUUCUUUUUGUUUAAGAUUGCUGGACAUGGAGUUCCCAUUGUGGCUCAGUGGUUAACCGGCCUGACUAGUAUCCAUGGUUUGAUCCCUGGCCUUGCUUGGUGGGUUAAGGACCGGGUGUUGCCAUGAGCUGUGGUGUACGUUGCAGACGUGGCUCAAAUCCUUUGUUGCUGGGGAUGUGGUGCAGGCCAGUGGCUAUAACUCUGAUUCACCCCCUAGCCUGGGUACCUCCGCAGGCCACGGGUGCCCCCCAAAAAAGACCAAAAAAAAAAAGAAAGCUGUUACAGUGUUUAACAGUUCUUUUAAAUGUUAGCAAACCGAAAAGUUCAGUAUAAAAACAGAGAUUGUUGGGAUGGGUAGGAAAACAAGACUCCAGUAUGUUAUUUUUUAAAAAUUCACUUCAAACAGAAAUACACAAAUGGUU